GACGAACGCUGGCGGCGUGCUUAACACAUGCAAGUCGAACGGAAAGGCCUGCUUUCCCUUGUGGAUUGCGGGUACUCGAGUGGCGAACGGGUGAGUAACACGUGAGUGAUCUGCCCCCAACUUGGGUAUAAGCCUGGGAAACUGGGUCUAAUUCCCGAUAGGACUGCAGGGUGGUGCCUGUGGUGGAAAACGAUUUUCUAGUGGUUGGGGAUGAGCUCGCGGCCUAUCAGCUUGUUGGUGGGGUAAUGGCCUACCAAGGCGGCGACGGGUAGCCGGCCUGAGAGGGUGGACGGCCACAUUGGGACUGAGAUACGGCCCAGACUCCUACGGGAGGCAGCAGUGGGGAAUAUUGCACAAUGGGCGGAAGCCUGAUGCAGCGACGCCGCGUGGGGGAUGACGGGCUUCGGGUUGUAAACUACUUUCGACCGAGAGGAAGCCACCUGGUUGGAAGGGUGGUGACGGUAGUGGUAGAAGAAGCACCGGCUAACUACGUG
rnacentral:rRNA from 1 species